CCUACGGGUGGCAGCAGUGAGGAAUAUUGGUCAAUGGACGAGAGUCUGAACCAGCCAAGUAGCGUGAAGGAUGACUGCCCUAUGGGUUGUAAACUUCUUUUAUAUGGGAAUAAAAUGUUCCACGUGUGUGAUUUUGUAUGUACCAUAUGAAUAAGGAUCGGCUAACUCCGUGCCAGCAGCCGCGGUAAUACGGAGGAUCCGAGCGUUAUCCGGAUUUAUUGGGUUUAAAGGGAGCGUAGGUGGAUUGUUAAGUCAGUGGUGAAAGUUUGCGGCUCAACCGGAAAAUUGCAGUUGAGACUGGCAGUCUUGAGUACAGUAGAGGUGGGCGGAAUGCGUGGUGUAGCGGUGAAAUGCUUAGAUAUCACGCAGAACUCCGAUUGCGAAGGCAGCUCACUGGACUGCAACUGACACUGAGGCUCGAAAGUGUGGGUAGCAAACAGGAUUAGAUACCCCAGUAGUC
rnacentral:rRNA from 1 species